CGUAUCCCCGCAGGCCGGCUGUACCCGGUUUAGAGGCAAACCGGAUGUGACGUGAGCCAGUGCCGUACUCCCUGCCCCCAGAUAGGUACUUGUACGCCUAGGGAAAGACGCUGCUAGGUGCUGCUGCUAAAUCCCUGUGGUUUCUGCCUGCUCACGUAGGUUCGUUCGCGUGGUCUUGUUACGCCUCGCUGGAUCGUGUUCAGUCAUGCCGUCCUUGCGCGGCGUCAUUGUCGGCGAGUCAGGUUAAAUUCUUUAAUAGGUAGCGCCUGCGCCUAAUUGAGUCUAUUAAAGACUGCACAUUCAGUUUUGCUGGCUACAAUUCAGUGUGGCUGGCGUGGGCUGUCUCCACGAUGCGCUUCGAGCGUGUCGAUUUCGCCGUUCUUUAUGUUGGCGGAAAUGACCGUGAAAGCAACAUGGAUCUACAAGAAAUAUGCAACAUCAAGGCCUUGAUUGUUCAGCGAGACGGCGCCCGUCGUGCUGGUUUUCAAGGUGCUCUCUCGCUGGCUAGAAGAUGCUGAUGCGGAGCAGAAAAUGCAAAAACGUCGCUUGCUCAACCGCAAAUUGACGGCUACGCUGAAGCGCAUGCCGUGUCUGCGGAAUUUGAACCCCGAGGCACGUUCACACUGAAGACGGAGCGGCUAAACCGGGCAAAGCUCUUGACCAGGCGGAUAAAAGCAGGCGUUAAACGAGGCAGCAAGCCUGAUCACUCGCGGACCACUUUUUUUCCUGCCCGCCAGAGCUGUCCGCUU